rnacentral:rRNA from 1 species
UACGGAGGGUGCGAGCGUUAUCCGGAUUCACUGGGUUUAAAGGGUGCGUAGGUGGGAAUGUAAGUCAGUGGUGAAAUCUCUGAGCUUAACUCAGAAACUGCCAUUGAUACUAUGUUUCUUGAAUUUUCUGGAGGUCAGCGGAAUAUGUCAUGUAGCGGUGAAAUGCUUAGAUAUGACAUAGAACACCAAUUGCGAAGGCAGCUGGCUACACGAAUAUUGACACUGAUGCACGAAAGCGUGGGGAUCAAACAGG